rnacentral:misc_RNA from 1 species
GAUGAAGAACGCAGCGAAAUGCGAUAAGUAAUGUGAAUUGCAGAAUUCAGUGAAUCAUCGAAUCUUUGAACGCACAUUGCGCCCGCCAGUAUUCUGGCGGGCAUGCCUGUUCGAGCGUCAUUUCAACCAUCAAGCCCCAGGCUUGUGUUGGGGACCUGCGGCUGCCGCAGGCCCUGAAAACCAGUGGCGGGCUCGCUGUCACACCGGGCGUAGUAGAUUUUAUCUCGCUCAGGGCGUGCUGCGGGUUCCGGCCGUUAAAAAGCCUUUUUUUACCCAAGGUUGACCUCGGAUCAGGUAGGAAGACCCGCUGAACUUAAGCAUAUCAAUAAGCGGAGGA